rnacentral:rRNA from 1 species
GAUGAACGCUGGCGGCGUGCUUAACACAUGCAAGUCGAACGGUGAAGGCGGAGCUUGCUCUGCUGGAUCAGUGGCGAACGGGUGAGUAACACGUGAGCAAUCUGCCCCUGACUCUGGGAUAAGCGCUGGAAACGGCGUCUAAUACUGGAUACGAGCUGCGAAGGCAUCUUCAGCAGCUGGAAAGAAUUUCGGUCAGGGAUGAGCUCGCGGCCCAUCAGCUUGUUGGUGAGGUAAUGGCUCACCAAGGCGUCGACGGGUAGCCGGCCUGAGAGGGUGACCGGCCACACUGGGACUGAGACACGGCCCAGACUCCUACGGGAGGCAGCAGUGGGGAAUAUUGCACAAUGGGCGAAAGCCUGAUGCAGCAACGCCGCGUGAGGGACGACGGCCUUCGGGUUGUAAACCUCUUUUAGCAGGGAAGAAGCGAAAGUGACGGUACCUGCAGAAAAAGCGCCGGCUAACUACGUG